UGAGGUGGCUGUGCCCUCUCUUCUGUUGGUGCAAGCAAUCCACAUGGCCAUCCAGAGGUACAGGAAGAGGAUGAGAAUUAUAUUAAAGAUCAAAACCAGAGAUACUGUAUGUAAUGACUGGCCAAAUUUGCCUCUUCACUAUAAAUAACCACUGUAGGAAAAUUAAGACAAGAUUCCAAAAAACUCAACAGAGGAGCAAAUUGCCCGAGCUUCAAAAUACACAAAUUCAGAUGUGAGUGCAAUGACUCAGUCAUGAAAAAUCUCUUAUCAUCUGCUCCAGUGGAGAGAUGCAAGGGACAAAAAAAAGCUGCAAGGUAAGCACCAGGGAUAAAGGUGCCAGUAAAAGCCAAAAGAGCUUCAUACAA
rnacentral:lncRNA from 1 species